rnacentral:rRNA from 1 species
AUUGAACGCUGGCGGCAUGCCUUACACAUGCAAGUCGAACGGCAGCACGGGUGCUUGCACCUGGUGGCGAGUGGCGAACGGGUGAGUAAUACAUCGGAACAUGUCCUGUAGUGGGGGAUAGCCCGGCGAAAGCCGGAUUAAUACCGCAUACGAUCUACGGAUGAAAGCGGGGGACCUUCGGGCCUCGCGCUAUAGGGUUGGCCGAUGGCUGAUUAGCUAGUUGGUGGGGUAAAGGCCUACCAAGGCGACGAUCAGUAGCUGGUCUGAGAGGACGACCAGCCACACUGGGACUGAGACACGGCCCAGACUCCUACGGGAGGCAGCAGUGGGGAAUUUUGGACAAAGGGCGAAAGCCUGAUCCAGCAAUGCCGCGUGUGUGAAGAAGGCCUUCGGGUUGUAAAGCACUUUUGUCCGGAAAGAAAUCCUUGGCCCUAAUACGGUCGGGGGAUGACGGUACCGGAAGAAUAAGCACCGGCUAACUACGCG